GGCUCAGGAUGAACGCUGGCGGCGUGCUUAACACAUGCAAGUCGAACGGGAACUACUUUAUUGAAACUUCGGUCGAUUUAAUUUAAUUCUAGUGGCGGACGGGUGAGUAACGCGUGGGUAACCUGCCUUAUACAGGGGGAUAACAGUCAGAAAUGGCUGCUAAUACCGCAUAAGCGCACAGAGCUGCAUGGCUCAGUGUGAAAAACUCCGGUGGUAUAAGAUGGACCCGCGUUGGAUUAGCUAGUUGGUGGGGUAACGGCCCACCAAGGCGACGAUCCAUAGCCGGCCUGAGAGGGUGAACGGCCACAUUGGGACUGAGACACGGCCCAGACUCCUACGGGAGGCAGCAGUGGGGAAUAUUGCACAAUGGGGGAAACCCUGAUGCAGCGACGCCGCGUGAAGGAAGAAGUAUCUCGGUAUGUAAACUUCUAUCAGCAGGGAAGAUAGUGACGGUACCUGACUAAGAAGCCCCGGCUAACUACGUGCCAGCAGCCGCGGUAAUACGUAGGGGGCAAGCGUUAUCCGGAUUUACUGGGUGUAAAGGGAGCGUAGACGGUGUGGCAAGUCUGAUGUGAAAGGCAUGGGCUCAACCUGUGGACUGCAUUGGAAACUGUCAUACUUGAGUGCCGGAGGGGUAAGCGGAAUUCCUAGUGUAGCGGUGAAAUGCGUAGAUAUUAGGAGGAACACCAGUGGCGAAGGCGGCUUACUGGACGGUAACUGACGUUGAGGCUCGAAAGCGUGGGGAGCAAACA
rnacentral:rRNA from 1 species